AUACCUAUCUCGUCCUUCUGGUUAAGAUCAAGUGUAGUAUCUGUUCUUAUCUGUUUAAUAUUUGAUAUGUGGGUCAUUGAUCCACACGAUAUUAACUCAAUUAUUUGAGGGGGAGUGUUCUCUAUGGUAGCUUGCUAUCAGGACUCUCGAGUGUCGUCUUGGCAUUACACUACAGCUUUGGCCUGGCACACCCCCA
rfam:Capsicum annuum cultivar Zunla-1 chromosome 2, whole genome shotgun sequence